CACACUGGAGAGAAACCGUAUCACUGCACUGCAUGUGGGAAGUGUUUCAAUCAAUCAUCUGCUCUACACAGACAUAGAAAAAACAAGCACAGUAAGUAGAUCAUCUUCAGAUCCAGCACUUUCAGAUCUGAUGCUGCGUCCUCAACAAAUGAGACACAAUAAUGAAUCAAGCAAUAAAAUAUAAUCUGGAUAAAUCUGUUCUAACCAGACAUUAAAAGUGACAUGACAAAGAAACAUUAUCUAAAGUUUCACAGUGCCUCCCCAAAGAACAAUGUCACAAAGUUUUAUUCUUGUAUAUCAUUUUGCUUCAUUUUAUAAAUAAUAUUGUUUUCUUAUGAGUUUCAUGUGAGUUUGUGAGAGUCUUACAAUGCACAUGUAUCACUUGUACUGUGAGAUUCAGAUCAACUCAAAAGCUCUAUUCGGACAGUAAAUGUUUCUCCUGACACCUUGAGAUUGAAAUAACAUGAUAAUAGAUGAUGAACUCAUGAAGCAGUGGAAGUUCAUUCAUUAUUUCUGUGAUGUGAAGCUCAAGUAUGAUGUGUUGAUGUGAUGAUGAUUUGUUUAUAUGUUGCAAUAUAUUUGACCUGAACUAACAGACAUGAUCACAGAUCCAGCAGAAACUGAAUCAGUAGGACUGAUGGAUCAGUAUUCAGAGUUUCACAGAUUGAUCUUUGUCUGUUAUCUGUCCACGCAUCUGUCCUGCAGUGAUUGUGAUUAUUGUUGAGUUUGCAGUGUUUGCUGCUCCUGCUGUGAUUCUUCUUCAGAUCAUCUGUGUAAGAAGAGCUGGUGAGUUUUUCAGCUUCACACAAUUCAAAUUCUGGCCAGAGGAGAACUGACCCCCAACUGAGCCUGCUCUCUCUCAAGUGUUUAUUUUUAAUUUUUUUCCUCCAUUUCUGUCACCGAUGGAGUUUGGUUUUGGUUCCUUGCCAUUGCUGCCUUUGGCUUACUUAGUUGGGUACACUUAAUUUCUGGCAAUAUCGUCAACUUAAUUGCACAUUCUAUUUGAACUGACCUAAGCUGGACAAUAUAGACAUUAGAGAUGGGCAGAUGAAGCCUUGUGAAGCUUUUGAGGCUUUUCCCCUGAUUGUACCAAAAAAAAAGAGUCAAAGCUUCAAAGACAGACCCUACCAGUGACAUCUAGUGGUCAGCUGCAGUUAUAGCAGCCACUUUCAAAUGAUUCACACAUCUUGUUGAUUCCAGUUUCAACACAAAAGCAAUACUCGACAAUAGCAGCUGUGUCUUCAUUCUGAGAAUCAUUGUCUACACACAAAAGUGUUACUAAGUUACUAUGAAGCAGGGAGGGAACACCAAGCAUUUCGCGUCUCCUUAUAAUAAAUGAAGCCGCGCCAAAGAUUCGAAUCAGUCACCUCGCUUUAGGUGUUUCAUUGUGACGUAUGAAGCCUCAAACGUCAUCGGUCACGUGAUCACGGAGAUUUGAUACAAUCCCCGACACAGUCUUUCGAACCAGUUUGCUUCAAUGGAGUAAAACAGGCUUCGGAGCCUCAGUGUCAAAUGGCCCAUCUCUAAUAGACCUCACUGAAUCAACAAUGAACUGACCUUAACUGGUAAACUGACUCUAUUGUCCUCUUGCAUUAUCAGCAACAAGUUUUCCCGUUUAACACUGUAAAGCUGCUUUGACACUAUCUGUAUUGUAUAAAGUGCUAUAGAAAUAAAGCUGACUUGACAAUCUGAUGAUUCACAUUGAUCUGGAACAAUCUGCAAUCAUGAGAGCUCAGUAUAUGCUUUUGUGUUGAUUUAUUUUGCAG
ensembl:lncRNA